UACGUAGGGGGCAAGCGUUGUUCGGAAUUACUGGGCGUAAAGGGCGCGUAGGCGGCCUGUUAAGUCGAACGUGAAAUCCCCGGGCUCAACCCGGGAACUGCGUCCGAUACUGGCAGGCUUGAAUCCGGGAGAGGGAUGCGGAAUUCCAGGUGUAGCGGUGAAAUGCGUAGAUAUCUGGAGGAACACCGGUGGCGAAGGCGGCAUCCUGGACCGGCAUUGACGCUGAGGCGCGAAAGCCAGGGGAGCGGAACGGG
rnacentral:rRNA from 1 species